UACUUAUGUUUUUCUCCUGCGUUACUGUUGGUAAAAUGAUAUUUCCCCGCAGCAUGUCCCAUCCUUACUUGUAUUUUUCUGUUUUAUUUUUCGUUGUAUAUGGUAUAACUACACAGGUUUAUUUGGUAGUCUGGUCGUAGCCUCGUCACUACUUCGUCAGGGUUAGGCUAGGCACUUACCAGCAUAUGGGGUCGGUUGUGCUGAUACUACACUCUGCACCGUGUGCAGAUCCCGAAGCAGCAACAUUUGGACCUUAGUUUGGGUGGCUGCCUUCAGUCCAGUUGGAGAUUCCGAGGUAGUCCUGCAGGCGUCCGCAGGCCCUGGCGUCUCCUUCUAUCCCUUUAUCCUGUUUCAUUUACAUAUUUUAGAAAUAGUGUAUCAUUUAUUUUUCAGAUCUUGUUUGUAGUAAUUCUAGACUGUUUAUGAAGCGUGACACCAGUUCUGGGUAGAUUUUAUUUAAGAUGUUGUGUUGGAUAUAUAUAUUCAAAUGGUUUUAUUGAUUCUUCCGCUUGUUUAAAACUUCGCUGCUUAUAAGCUAUUAUUUCAUAAUUGUAAAGGAUUAAAAAUGGGAAAAAGGGAUAAUUUGUUCAAACUGUUAGCUUGUCUAACUUUCAUUAGUAGGCGCCAUCACGACUCCCGAGGGUGGAAAAUCUGGGUCAUGACAUCAACACACAAAAGACUCGAGGUCGUUCCCACCUAAUAAAAGAAAAAUAAAAUACUAUGAGUUCUACUUUCGGCCUCCAAAUACAAAUACUUCGGGGCAUAACCCAGAUAAAAAUAUAUACAGAGUCUAUGGGACAUUCCCCUAAAUAUAAACUAAAGGGAACGACCUCUCACCUUGGAUAAAAUAAUAGAAAGGCCUUAAAGUUUGCCUACCCAAUUGUGGUCGACCUAAGCAUGCUCCUAGCGAUUGAGAAAAAUAGAAAUAAAAUUAAACUAAAGUAAAUAAAACUCAUUUCUUUUUCACCUUCUUUUAACUCUUCAUUUCAUGUAUUUGACCCACCUCAAUUUCUAAAACGCGCGAGCAAUUUGAAUCACUAAUGGGAUAGGCCUCUACCAAACUCCAAGGCUCAAUGCCACAUAAACAUGCCACAGAAUAACUGUGAAGAGCAAAUAAACAUCCAAACAUAGGAAGUGAACAAACAAACAAGAGGAAAGGUAGGUAAUAAGACAAAAGAAAUGGUGGAUUGAAAUAUGAUAAGAGCUUUAAAACUUCUCCUUAAUCUCAUCCCUGUACCCACAUCUCCUAAUUUUCUUAAAACCAAAUAAACUCCAAACAACAUCUAACAAAUAAUCCAAGCUAAAAUCAAAUAAGCUUCAAACAACAUUUAAUAGAUAAUUCUACGAUUGAUUAAGCCUGCAGAACUCAACAACAAACAUUGAAUUUAAUUCUUCACUUCUUAUGAUCUGACUAACUCAAACUGAUGAUCCAAAAUUCCCACACAAAUGCCAGCAGUGAUAAAUUAGCAUUCCCACCACAACAUAUUAAACUAGUCAAGGUAGAAAGGGAAAAUUCCAACAUGAGAUCAAAUUCGGCGCGAAGCAACAUGAUAAGCUCAUGACUACUAAAUAGUAAGGUUUUAAAUGAGUUAGGAUUCAACAACCAAGAAGAAAACAAUUUCAAGGGAGUGAGGAUUAGGUACACAAGACUAGAUUAACUAAAAAGAAGACGAAGGGCAAUGCAUUCUGCUAGAACCACAACAAGAUUUAUGAAAUAGGCACAGAGCUCCAACUAAUAGCCAGAAGAACUAAUUUUAUAACCAGGCAAACAAACAGGAGCAAGGGAAACUAAUAAUCACUCAAUUGAACAUCAAUAUAUCCUACAGGAAAGAAACAAAAAUAUGAAAAUGCACCAGAAAUCUUUAUGCACCAAAGAACUGUCCCAAAACGCGUGGUGGAGUGUCGUUAUCCUAUACAAAUGGAAGCUAAAUAAACUGAUUUGGAAUUAAUUGAAGGCGUUGGAACUAUAUGAACUGAUUUUUUGCACCUAAAUUCUAGAAGAUCAGCAUUACAAACUCAAGAAAUCAAAAGCAAAGAUUUGACCAUUUCUGAACUUAACGGGGAUAUCAGACCCUCAUUUGAAGGGAAUGAUCACACUUAAGCCCCCACAAAAAUUGAAGCAAAUGGGAUGAAAUAGAGACAUACUAAUCUGGAUUGUAGCGACUUGAACAAUGAUAGUUAUGGCUUAAGUAUCGAUUUUAUUACUCAGACAGCACAAAAUAAUAAGAACAAAACUCGAAUAUUUCCAUCAAGAGCAGAACUACAUUUGAAACACAUAUUCAAACACAAAUCCAUUCAAAACUGUCUAUUAAGCACAUAUAAACUCAUUCUAUACCCUUAAGAUGUUGUAGACACUAAUGAAUCCCAAACGACCACCAUAGCUCUUAUCAUAUUUCAAACAACCCCAAAAUAGAUUAAGAAAGAUUAGAGAUAAACCUGAAUCAGCAGACACUUUUAAUUAACUUUGCUCGAACGCUAAAUACACGUGAAAUCCAGCAGCGAAGAUCAAAACCAACAGCAACAAAAAAAAACAGGAAUCCCGAGCCACAGACGACCCUCAAGUUAGCGACUCGAUCACUUGAACCUCGGGCAUCAACGACUUCAACAACCUUGGCUCGACUCCAUUUACUAACAUAGAUUGAAGAUGAAACUGAAAUCCGACUCUACACUCACUAGAAAACAGAAACGUAAAAGGAAUCUUUUGAAAUGACCUAAAAUCUAAAAUCAAACUCGAAGAUGAGAAGAAGCUCAAUUUUCUUCUCCAAAUCUUAGAGCAGAGAAGAAGAGCCCCUUUUAAAAACCCCUAAUUCUCCUCCCAAACCCACAAAUAUAUACUCCAUCUCGAAACUUCUAUACUUGUCUUCCAAGAAAACCCAAAAAUCUUCCAAACACAUCCAAAAUUCGGUUUUUUGAUCAGUAAAGGACAAGUGGAGGGAGUAGAUUGUGUUUAACUCAAUUCUAUGCCCCCAAUUAAUCCUAAUCUAGUCUUCAAAUGAAAUUCGGGUGAGAUGAGCGUAUGAGAGAGAGGCGGCCUCGAUUUGUCAGAGUUUGUUACGGAUUCAGCUGACGUGGAAGGAAUAUGAGGGGAGGGGACCAUGGAGGGUUCGUUUAUGUUGGGGUUUGGGUUGGGUUAAGGUGGGAGAAGGGUUUGAGGGAGAAUAGGAGUGCGGCUGAGGUCUUUGGGUUUAGGGUUAGAGAAAUACUUAGGUUUUAUAUAUGGGU
rnacentral:lncRNA from 1 species